rnacentral:tRNA from 1 species
AAAGAUCAUAAUCGGGGCUGCUAACCCUUUAAAAAUGAAAUUCAUUUGGUCUUUA